CCCCACCCAACCCCUCGUGCCCUCCUCUCUCUCUCUCUCUCUCUCUCGGGAACCCUAGCGCUCCACUCCUCCCUUGCCGCUGCCACCUUCGGCGGGAAUCAAAGACCAUGUCCGGCGAGAUCCGGCGCGCGCAGCGAGAUCCAUCUCUCUCACACACACGAUAAGGAAAAUCCCCCGCCCCAUUCCCACGACUCAUCUGCCUCUCCCUCGAUCCCCUUCCUUCCCGAGGACGCACGCGCCGCCGCCUCCCCGAUCCCCUUCUCCCCUCGCCCCCCAUAUCGCGCCGCCAUCCACCUCGUCGCCUCCCAGAUUUAUCCUCCUCCUCCUCCUAUUCCCCUCGUCAGAUCCAUCCAUCCAUUUGUUUUUCCAUCCGAUCCACUUGACGCCAUCGCAUCCCCUUCUCGCUCGCAGGGUUGCAGGCGAUUCGAUCCGGUCCGGGUCCAUGGCGUCCACGGCCGUGGCGGCGCUCGUGCUGACCGACGAGCUGGCCCUGCCGCUCCGCGCGGUGGGGGAUGGCGGCGGGGAAGCACGCAGCUGCGCAGCGACCGCGGGAGGUUUUAGUGAGCGGCCGCAUUGCUGCGGCAGGAGGACCAGCGCGGGCUUCCGGCAACGAGGCUCCGUCGCGCGAACCAAGACGCGGACUCGACGGGAUGGCUCUGCGGGACUCUGGCGUCAGAAGCAGCGGCUGGGGCCACGCGGUGACCCUGGGACGCCCCUGCCCGAUUCUGGCGCGAAGGCAACCUCGCGCGAAUCACGGCGGCCUUGACCAAGAAGGAGGCGUUCGUGCCGCACGGCGGCCGGUGGUGAGCGUCGGUGCUGGCGAGUUUGGGUCAGUACGUCGCGACGGCGGCGAGCCUGCUCGGCGUCCCAUGAUUGGACCUUGGAGCCACGCGAAGAGAAGGGGAUCCACUCCAAACCCAGCACAGGCAACAUGGUGACUCUAGUGCCGACAUCUCCCAGUCGCGGCGCGUGUGAUCUGACUGUGUUGGGUUGGUGUCUGGUUGCAGGACAUGGUGACGAACUCACAGUUCGAGAAGAGGCCGAACCGGUUAGGCAUCGGCUGCGCGCUACCGCCCAAGAAGGACCUCCACCUGUUCGCCAACGCCGCAUCCUCAAGAAAGUGGUGAGGAGAUGUUGAUGAUGCCUACUUGCUUGGCUGCUACGGUGAUGCAUGCACCGAUGAAGCAAGCACACAUGCAAGGCUGGCCCCAUGUAUCUUCCUUGGCUGCGGACAUCAUCUACAGGAUAGCAGUAUGACCAAGACAAGCUACAAGCUCCCAGCGCGUCUGAUCCAGGGUGAAUGGCCAUGGUCACGAGCUCCUCAGGAUCAAAAUAGGAUGGCAAGUUGUGGCAGCUGGAGCAUGUCGCAUAAGAGAGAGCAAUGAAAUCCAUUGUACUGUUCUGUUAAAAAUAGUACAUUGUGAUGUUAUGAUAGUAGCAUAUGUGCGUCUUUCUUAUUAUAUAGUCCUGUGUAAGGAAAUGUAUUCCUGAGAUGAUUUUUGUGUUAUGUAAACCUGCGAGAUAUUUUCUUUUUGUGUUAUGUAAACCUAGGAGUUUUCCUAAUUUGAAUGAAAUAAUGUUGGAUGUA